GCGAUGUGAGCGGUCUGCUGCCCGCGAUGUCGCGAGAAGUCCACUGAACCUUAUCAUUUAGAGGAAAGAGAAGCCGUAACAAGGUUUCCAUAGGUGAACCUGCGGAAGGAUCAUUG
rnacentral:rRNA from 1 species